rnacentral:lncRNA from 1 species
AUAAACCAUCAAGUCUUUUUAUAUAUAUAAUUUGAAUAAUUAAUAUGAAUUAGAUAGGCAACAUUAAAAACCAUAUCAUGAUUUACGAACAAUGCAUGUAUACAAACAGGCCAUAAAAUUAAAACACAAUUUAAAGGUAGCCUAUCGAAUGAUCGCAUUGACAGUCUGAAUAAUGUGUAAAGACAGAACCGGCAGGAUGACGGCAAUAAAGACACAAUCGUAUGAAAUAAAGAUCCUAAACGUUUUAGCAGGCAAUACUGACCCAAAACAAGAUACGGCA